rnacentral:lncRNA from 1 species
CAAGAAUCUACAGGUCGAGCAAGUCUCGUAAAUUUCACGAUUGCGAGCCACGCUUCACGCAACCGUGUUUGCGUACUUGUGUUUCGAGUUGCGUGGUCGUGCGGAGUUAUAUUUACCAAAUUUAAAUAUAAUCGUUUUCAAAAUUAAAUCAAUAUGGCUACUGGGUGUAAAAGAUAAAUCUUAUUCUAUCUGUUCUUAAUGAGUUUUAGAUAAUUUUAGUUGUAUUUCUUUGUAAUUUAUGUACAGGUUUUACUAGCGAAAUGAAAAUUUUCCUGUCCUGUCUGCUGUAAUCAUUUUAUAUCUGGAAAACCAGCCGACUUAAUCGAUAAUAACAAUCUCCAGAUUGGGUUCCUUCAAUAAAUAUGGUCUAUAAACACAAUGAAAUAAGUUCCCCAAAAUCUAAAAUGGAGUGGUAUCAAAGGAGAAUUAAAGGGAAAAAUAUUCAUAUUGAAAUUAUUUAUAAGGCACUGGACUGUCUUAAAUUCUACAAUAAUACUAGAAUCAGCUGAGAGAAGUGGUCUACAAAAAACCAGGAAGGAAACGGAAUAUGUGGCUACGAAAGGCAAAAGAAAGGUUUACAAAGCAAAUGUGACACAUUUUUUUGAAAUAUUUAGGAAUAUCAGUAAAUUGCACUAAAAAAAUGUAUGAAAAGAUUUUGUUCAAUAAAAAUGUUUAUAUUUA